rnacentral:rRNA from 1 species
GAUGAACGCUGGCGGCGUGCUUAACACAUGCAAGUCGAACGGACAGGCCCUGCUCUUGUGGGGCGCUCGAGUGGCGAACGGGUGUGUAACACGUGAGUAACCUGCCCUUGUCUUUGGGAUAACUUUAGGAAACUGGGGCUAAUACCGGAUAGGAUCUCCUGAUGCAUGGUGGGGGUUGGAAAGUUUCGGUGGUUGUGGAUGUAAUCGCGGGUUAUCGGCUUGUUGGGGGGGUUGUGGCUUACAAAGGGUUUGAAGGGUAGCCGGCCUGGGCGGGUAACCGGCCACAUUGGGACUGAGAUAGGGCCCAGACUACAACGGUACGCAGCGGGCGGAAAUAUUGCACAGUAGGCCGAAGCCUGAUGCAGCACCGCCGCGUGCGGGAAAACGGCCUUCGAGUUAUAAACCACUGUCGCCUGUGACGAACCGUGAGUGACGGUAAUGGGUAAAGAAGCACCGGCUAACUACGUG